GUGGGGAAUAUUGGACAAUGGGCGAAAGCCUGAUCCAGCCAUGCCGCGUGAACGAUGAAGGCCUUCGGGUUGUAAAGUUCUUUAGCCGAUGAUUAUAAUGACUGUAGUCGGAAAAUAAGCCCCGGCUAACUUCGUGCCAGCAGCCGCGGUAAUACGAAGGGGGCGAGCGUUAUUCGGAAUCACUGGGCGUAAAGCGUGCGUAGGCGGUCUCGUAAGUUAGGAGUGAAAGCCCAGGGCUCAACCUUGGAAUUGCUCUUAAAACUGCAAGGCUAGAAUCUCGGAGAGGAUAGCGGAAUUUCCAGUGUAGCAGUGAAAUGCGUAGAUAUUGGAAGGAACACCAGUGGCGUAAGCGGCUAUCUGGACGAGUAUUGACGCUGAGGCACGAAAGCGUGGGGAUCAAACAGGAUUAGAAACCCGGGUAGUCC
rnacentral:rRNA from 1 species